CGGCCAUUCGAGCAAGCAAACCUGCCAGAAUAAACGUUCAAUUUGCGCGCCCGCCCCCUGCCCAAUGAAAAGCGACCGGAAGUGACGGGACGACGCUGUACAGUCACUUCGGCGCGCGGCACGAUGGGAAGGCGGAAGCUACGCCAUUAUUGCAUUCUUUAGCUACGUGAAAUGCGUUCGCGUCUCGCGCUGUGCGACAUAAUUUUAAACGUGUGAUUAGUUUUGUGCGCGGUGUAGAAAAAGGUGUGGCCCGUGCUUUGUGUAUUACUCGUGGUCCACUUCAAAGCAAAGCGUUCGUACGCACUGGAAGAUGGAUCCACGGACGCUGAGACGAGCAGUUGCAACGUGCCCUGUGUCGGCGGUCGGUAGUACUGCCAUAAUGGAAAUUUUCAGGCAAGUGCCCAUUUAUUUGGUAUUUCUUUGGUUUGUUACGUGUUUUUGUUCGCUCUAGAAGUAUCUUAGUGUGAUCUCGUAGCAUAAUUCACUAAUGUAAGAGCAAGAGCAGCUGCACUCCUAGUAGGGCAAGUUAACUACCUCGAUCGCGCCCCGUCUUACAUCGGGCGUGAUGCGCCUGCAUAGUUACGCUUUUCUCAGCGCUUCAACGUUCAUAGAUAUGCUUCUUUUGUGCGUUCAGCGCGGCUUCUUGUAAUACGGUCGCUCGCACUUAAGUUAAAUGUGGUCGACCACUUUUGCGUCGCGUAGAAAAAGGACGACUGACUUUGCCACCUUUCGAAAGAACUGGCGCGGUAUUGGUUCUCCCUGAUGCGGUCGCGUGCUGCUGUUGCUGCUUGCCGGGCGCCUUUAACAUGUUUUCGGCUCGCUUUGUCUGUGCGUGUGUGCGCGCUCGCGCUCGGCUCGAUUCGUGUGUGUGCGUGCGCUCAGCUCAGCUCGCUUUGUGUGUGUGUGUGUGUGUGCGUGCAUGCGUGCGUGUGUGUGUGUGCAUGCGUGCGUCUUGCGCGCGCAUACAUGCCGGUUUGUAUGGGCCGGCGUGCUUGCGUGUGUCUAGUGCGUACGUGUUUUGUGAGCGUGUUUCUGUGUGGGUCACUGUGUGUGCGUCCACGUGUUAGCGUGUCUGCCUGCAUGUAUGUGAUUGUUUGUGUUUAUCAAUGUGCGCGUGCGUGCCUUUGUGUCUGCGCUUUGAGAGUGCGUAUAUUUGUGUGCGUGCGUAUGUAUUGCAUAAGGCCGGUAGAAUUUUACUCGCAAUAAAACUCUUCCAAUUUGGUGCAGCGAGUGUUGCCGCCUGAAAGCCGAGUUUGGUUUCAAGCCAACCUGGACAACUGCUGUAUGAGGCGCUGUUUCGCAGGAGGAUCAGUGGGAAGGCGUCAGGUCAUGCAGAUGAUAGCAUCAAUUUCACAAUGCCCAGCCUUGGUGCCCUCCAUUAAGAGCAAGCCACUUGCGUUCGCCUUCAGGCAGAUGGUUGAUGUCUUCUAGGAAGCAGUUGGGAAGACUACAUUGAUGCAAGAUUCCAGCAAUGCCAUGCGCUGCAUUUAUUGGUCAAGAUGCUCAGAGAAUGGAGUCCCUGCACCUCGUGGUGAAACGUGAACAUUUUCUUUCUUUUGGAAAGCUAAACGUCAUUUGCUGUAUCAAUUGCAUUCUUGCAGCUCAGAUGUGUACUAUAUUUUUUCUAAUUUUGAAUCAAUUAAUAUUCACUUUUCUGUAUAAAAAUGACGUACAGUGUGAAGGACAAGGACUGCGAGAGAUGACAUACACUGCGCUGACUUCCAACAAUAUUUUAUUGCGUUGCCACAUCGUGUGUUUAUACACAAGAAGGGCCAUGUGCAGAAAAUGA